CUCCCCAUUCGACCCGUCU
rnacentral:snRNA from 1 species